GUUUGGUUUGUUUCUAUUGAAUGAUGCAGGUUGAAGAACAACCAUUUGCAGAAACCGGGACUUACAAGUCAAAGGUUGCAUAUUUGCUCCUGUACAGAGCCUCAGAGUCUAAGAUGUCCCAUGAGACCCAGACAAAAGAUCUGACGGACAACACAUUGCAAAAGCAGGA